rnacentral:rRNA from 2 species
CUUUUGACCUCGGAUCAGGUAGGGAUACCCGCUGAACUUAAGCAUAUCAAUAA